rnacentral:rRNA from 1 species
UUUAAAGAGAGUUUGAUCCUGGCUCAGGACGAACGCUGGCGGCGUGCCUAAUACAUGCAAGUCGAACGAACGGAGGAAGAGCUUGCUCUUCCAAUGUUAGUGGCGGACGGGUGAGUAACACGUGGGCAACCUGCCUGUAAGUUGGGGAUAACUCCGGGAAACCGGGGCUAAUACCGAAUGAUAAGAUGUGGCGCAUGCCACGCCUUUGAAAGAUGGUUUCGGCUAUCGCUUACAGAUGGGCCCGCGGUGCAUUAGCUAGUUGGUAGGGUAAUGGCCUACCAAGGCAACGAUGCAUAGCCGACCUGAGAGGGUGAUCGGCCACACUGGGACUGAGACACGGCCCAGACUCCUACGGGAGGCAGCAGUAGGGAAUCUUCCGCAAUGGACGAAAGUCUGACGGAGCAACGCCGCGUGUAUGAAGAAGGUUUUCGGAUCGUAA